rnacentral:rRNA from 1 species
CCUACGGGUGGCAGCAGUGAGGGAUAUUGGACAAUGGGGGAAACCCUGAACCAGCAACGCCGCGUGAGGGAAGAAGGUUUUCGGAAUAUAAACCUCUGUCCUCAGUGAAGAAAAUGACGGUAGCUGAGGAAGAAGCUCCGGCUAACUACGUGCCAGCAGCCGCGGUAAUACGUAGGGGGCAAGCGUUGUCCGGAUUUACUGGGUGUAAAGGGAGCGUAGGCGGCACGGCAAGUCUGAAGUGAAAGCCAUGGGCUUAACCCGUGGACUGCUUUUGAAACUGUAGGGCUUGAGUGAAGUAGAGGCAAGCGGAAUUCCCAGUGUAGUGGUGAAAUGCGUAGAGAUCGGGAGGAACACCAGUGGCGAAGGCGGCCUACUGGACUUUAACUGACGCUGAGGCACGAAAGCGUGGGUAGCAAACAGGAUUAGAUACCCUUGUAGUC